CAUUAAUUAAUCAUUUAAUAUAACUUAGUUUUAUAACUAAAUUAGUUUGGCAGUGAGUUACUCCUAUCAGGGGAAGGUGUGUUAUAAAGGACGAUCCGCCUAUUAACUUACCUUGUUUAUGUUGGUGUAUAUCUGGUUUAAUAUUAUUGCUUAGUUGCUUGAAUUUGUGUAUUAAUUUUUAAGCUAAGUCUAUGUGCUGCAUGCCAAGGUUUUCAUGCGUUACAUUAAUAAGGUUUACUUUGUAAUUGGGUAAUAUUUAGGACUUGAUAGUAAUGUUAAAUUAAUUUGUUAAUGUGAAAUUGGUUUAGCUCAGGUACACACCGCCCGUCACCCUCGAUUAUUUUGAG
rnacentral:rRNA from 1 species